UAUUUUUAAAGAUUACUUUUAUUUUUAAAUAACAAGCCUAUUAAGAAUGUUAAGUGUACACGCAUCCACAAAGCCAUGCAAGGCAGUCCUAACCUCUGUCAUGUGGAAGCAUUGCCUGUUCUUGAAACAUUCAUGAAGAGUCUUUUGUCUCAUCCUCUAAGUACCUGGGACUGACUCUGGACUCGCCUCAAUUACUCAGUUUCAGAACUGGAAAAAAAAUGAAUCACAAUGAAUUUUUUAAGCAGAGAUCAAGCUGUUUUCCUGGCAUUGGGUCCUGUUGAAUCUCCUCCUGGUUCCUCAUUACACCGGGCUCUUGCUCUGGCUGAAGUCGCCACAGCAGAGCAGAGGAUGCUUGGAGCCGGAGCUUUCAAAUGCAGUGGCUGGGACUGGCGAGAGGUCAGGCUGCCAUGGCAGGGGGUUUAAAGCGGGUGCAGGAGGAGGAAAUGAGCUGCUUUUCUGCUGUUUUGUGCAAGUCUACUUCACACGGUGAUCCACAAAGUGGCAAAACACCGUGCCAAGGAAAAGACACGCAGCCAGGAGCGACCGUUCCUUCUCUGGCAGCCCUGCAUGGAGGAGAAACUUCCACACGCGACCCUGCCCUGCCUCAGGAAGUGUGGUUCAAAGAGGGGAAGGAAAUGAGAUGGAAAAGGGCGGGGGGAAGGCUCAUUUACUGCUGGGGAGCUGCCUCUAGACCCAUGGGGAAAGCCAGCAUUAGGGCUAGGGAGAGAUUACCACUGUUUACUGAGAAGCUUAGCGGGAAACACAUGGGGAAAGUCAUAUGGUCGGUCUGUAAGAAUUCAUCCAUGUUCCCGUUCUCCUCCCAUUCUCUCACAGCCUGGAAGUUGCCCUCUGAGGAGACCAUGCCACAGGGACAGCAGCAGGAGGAGGCAGAGCAGACGGGCAGGGAAGCCCUUCAGGGAGCUGAAAUUUCAUGUUGCUCUGUGUCUGUGGGAAUCCCAGCAGCACUGCACCACAGGGAGUAG
rnacentral:lncRNA from 1 species